CAAAAGCUUGGUCCUGACUUUACUAUCAACUGUGACUAAAUUUACACAUGCAAGUAUCCGCACACCCGUGAGAAUGCCCUAAGACUUCUAAUGAGGAGCCAAGGAGCUGGUAUCAGGCACAACACAAUGUUAGCCCACGACACCUUGCUAAGCCACACCCCCAAGGGAAUUCAGCAGUGAUAAACAUUAAGCUAUAAGUGUAAGCUUGACUUAGUUAAUGUCAAAAGAGCCGGUAAAACUCGUGCCAGCCACCGCGGUUAUACGAGAGGCUCAAGUUGAUAGAUACGGCGUAAAGAGUGGUUAAGAGAAUAUUUAACUAAAGUCAAACACCUUCAAGGCUGUUAUACGCACCCGAAGAAAUGAAGAACUUCCACGAAAGUAGCUUUAAAUAACUGAAUCCACGAAAGCUAGGGUACAAACUGGGAUUAGAUACCCCACUAUGCCUAGCCCUAAACAAAAGUAAUGAUAUUACACCUACUACUCGCCCGGGAACUACGAGCAUUAGCUUAAAACCCAAAGGACUUGGCGGUGCUUUAGAACCACCUAGAGGAGCCUGUUCUAGAACCGAUAACCCCCGUUCAACCUCACCCUUUCUUGUUAUUUCCGCCUAUAUACCGCCGUCGUCAGCUUACCCUGUAAAGGUUUAAUAGUAAGCAAAAAUGGUAUAACCCAGCACGUCAGGUCGAGGUGUAGCAUAUGAAAGGGGAAGAAAUGGGCUACAUUUCCUAAUUUAGGAAACACGAAUAAUGGAUUGAAAUAAACAUUUGAAGGUGGAUUUAGUAGUAAGGUGAUAAAUAGAGUGUUCUCCUGAAAUUGGCCCUGAAGCGCGCACACACCGCCCGUCACUCUCCCCAAGCUCAUAGUUUAUAUACAUAAAACAAAAUAAUUGCAAAGGGGAGGCAAGUCGUAACAUGGUAAGCGUACCGGAAGGUGUGCUUGGAAAAAU
rnacentral:ncRNA from 1 species